UAGACGGAAAGACCCCGUGAACCUUUACUAUAGCUUUGCACUGGACUUUGAAUUUGCUUGUGUAGGAUAGGUGGGAGGCUUUGAAGCGUGGACGCCAGUUCGCGUGGAGCCAACCUUGAAAUACCACCCUGGCAACUUUGAGGUUCUAACUCAGGUCCGUUAUCCGGAUCGAGGACAGUGUAUGGUGGGUAGUUUGACUGGGGCGGUCUCCUCCUAAAGAGUAACGGAGGAGUACGAAGGUGCGCUCAGACCGGUCGGAAAUCGGUCGUAGAGUAUAAAGGCAAAAGCGCGCUUGACUGCGAGACAGACACGUCGAGCAGGUACGAAAGUAGGUCUUAGUGAUCCGGUGGUUCUGUAUGGAAGGGCCAUCGCUCAACGGAUAAAAGGUACUCCGGGGAUAACAGGCUGAUACCGCCCAAGAGUUCAUAUCGACGGCGGUGUUUGGCACCUCGAUGUCGGCUCAUCACAUCCUGGGGCUGAAGCCGGUCCCAAGGGUAUGGCUGUUCGCCAUUUAAAGUGGUACGCGAGCUGGGUUUAGAACGUCGUGAGACAGUUCGGUCCCUAUCUGCCGUGGACGUUUGAGAUUUGAGAGGGGCUGCUCCUAGUACGAGAGGACCGGAGUGGACGAACCUCUGGUGUUCCGGUUGUCACGCCAGUGGCAUUGCCGGGUAGCUAUGUUCGGAAUAGAUAACCGCUGAAAGCAUCUAAGCGGGAAACUAGCCUCAAGAUGAGAUCUCACUGGGACCUUGAGUCCCCUGAAGGGCCGUCGAAGACUACGACGUUGAUAGGUUGGGUGUGUAAGCGCUGUGAGGCGUUGAGCUAACCAAUACUAAUUGCCCGUGAGGCUUGACCAUAUAACACCCAAGCAAUU
rnacentral:rRNA from 1 species